rnacentral:rRNA from 1 species
CUCAAGGAUUAAGCCAUGCAAAUGUAAGAACUGCUAAACAAUAAUUAACAUUCUGUGAACGGCUCAUUAAAAGGGUUAUAAACCUAGCCACUAGGAACACAUAAAAGGAUACCACCGUUAAAUGCAGCGAUAAUACUUGAGCUUACGCUAACAAUAAUGAGCGGAAUGAAGUCGCAUUAUUAUCAGAGUUAUUAUCCCAUGUGGAUAGUAACAGGUUGACCACUGGUUAAAGAUAAUGUGAAAUUUGAGUCUAAUAAUCUUAAAUAAGAACAUAUUUUGUUUCUGGUGGCCUGGUAGAGAUGUUUCUUACCUAUCAGCUUUAGUUGUUUAUGUAAAGGAUAAACAAGGCCGUGACGGGUACGGGGAAUUAGUGUUUGAUUCCGGAGAGGGAGCCUUAAAAAUCGCUACCACAUCUAAGGACGGCAGCAGGCGCGAAAAUUACCCAAUUUCAAUACGAAGAGGUAGUGACAAGUUAUAGUGACUUUACACUUUUCAAGUGGAAAGGUACAAUCAUCUGAUUGUUUAUCAUGAUUUAGAUAUAAAAAACCUUUUGAGAAGCAAUUGGAGGAAAAGUCUGGUGCCAGCACCCGCGGUAAUACCAGCUCCAAUAGUGUAUAUUAAUAUUGUUGUAGUUAAAACGCCCGUAGUCGAUUUAAGGACCUAUUAAACGCCUGCAUAUUAACCAUCAGUACUAGGUUUUAAAUUUAUGAUUUAAUAACCAAGUAUAUGAAGGUAAUAUUAUUGCUGUUCAUCAAAUGAAUGGCAGUAGGUGUUUGAUACGGUCCGAUCCCUUUCAAUUUUCGAAUUGGAAGUGGCCAUUAUAAAUGGAGCAACUGUGAGUAAAUCAUAAUGAUUAAAGUAGGCAAUGAAAAUAUUGCUCGUAUGAAAAAGCAUGGGAUUGCAAGCUAACUGUUCAUAUAUUGAAGGUUAUUAUUUAUAAUAGCUUUCGAUUAUGAAUGGUGUUAGUAAUGGGGUUUAGGGAGAGGCUCUUAGUACCAUAAAGAUAGGGGUGAAAUCCAAUAACCUUUAUGUGACGAUCCGAGGCGAAAGCUAUAGUGAGCCACCACAAACCCGUCGACGAGGGACGAAAGUUAGGGGAUCGAAGAUGAUUAGAUACCGUCGUAGUCCUGACUAUAAACGAUACCGACCGAGAAUUGGAUACGAAACCUUUAAAAUGAUCUCUUCAGAACUCAGGAGAAAUUUCAGUCUUUGGGUUCUGGGGGGAGUAUGGUCGCAAGUCUGAAACUUAAAGGAAUUGACGGAAAGGCACCACCAGGAGUGGAGUUUGCGGUUUAAUUCGACUCAACGCGGGAAAACUCACCAGAUCAGGACAAAUGUUUGAUUGACAGGUUAAAAGUCCUUUCUUGAUUAUUUGGAAGGUGGUGCAUGGCCGUUUGCAGUUCGUGGAGUGAUCUGUCUAGUUAAUUCUGAUAACGAACGAGACCCAAGCUUCUAACUAGCUG